rnacentral:rRNA from 1 species
GACGAACGCUGGCGGCGUGCUUAACACAUGCAAGUCGAACGGAAGGGCCCUGAUUUUGUGUGGCGCUUGAGUGGCGAAGGGGUGAGUGACACGUGAGUAACCUGCCCUUGACUGUCGGAUAACUUCAGGAAAAUGGGGCGAAUACCGCAUAGGAGCUCUUGAUGCAUGGGGGGGAUUGGAAAAUGUCGGCGGUUUGGGAUAGACUCGCGGCUUACCAGCUGGUUGGGGGGGUAGUGGCGUACCAGGGCUUUGACGGGUAGCCGGCAUGAGAUGUGGACCAGCGACAUUGGUACUGAGAGACGGCCCAGACUCCUACGGGAGGCAGCAGGCGGGAAUAUUGCACAAUGGGCGGAAGCCUGAGGCAGAAGCGCUGCGUGCGUGAUGCCCGCCUUCGAGUUAUGAACAGAUGUGUCCUGUGCCGAAGCGUGAGUGACGGUAACGGGUAAAGAAGCACCGGCUAACUACGUG